rnacentral:rRNA from 1 species
CCUACGGGAGACAGCAGUGGGGAAUAUUGCGCAAUGGGCGAAAGCCUGACGCAGCGACGCCGCGUGAGGGAUGAAGGUCUUCGGAUCGUAAACCUCUGUCAGCAGGGAAGAACGGUCACUGUGCUAAUCAGCAGUGAAUUGACGGUACCUGCAAAGGAAGCACCGGCUAACUCCGUGCCAGCAGCCGCGGUAAUACGGAGGGUGCGAGCGUUAAUCGGAAUUACUGGGCGUAAAGCGCUCGUAGGCGGUAUGUCAAGUCAAGGGUGAAAUCCCCGCGCUCAACGUGGGAACUGCCUUUGAAACUGGCAGACUGGAGUGUGUGAGAGGAUAGUGGAAUUCCAGGUGUAGGGGUGAAAUCCGUAGAUAUCUGGAGGAACAUCAGUGGCGAAGGCGACUAUCUGGCACAUAACUGACGCUGAGGAGCGAAAGCGUGGGUAGCAAACAGGAUUAGAUACCCUAGUAGUC